UACGGGGGGGGCAAGCGUUGUUCGGAAUUACUGGGCGUAAAGGGCUCGUAGGCGGCCAACUAAGUCGGACGUGAAAUCCCUCGGCUUAGCCGAGGAACUGCGUCCGAUACUGGAUGGCUUGAGUUUGGGAGAGGGAUGCGGAAUUCCAGGUGUAGCGGUGAAAUGCGUAGAUAUCUGGAGGAACACCGGUGGCGAAGGCGGCAUCCUGGACCAACACUGACGCUGAGUGAGCGAAAGCCAGGGGAGCAAACGGG
rnacentral:rRNA from 1 species